GCCUUCGUAGUGCAAUGGUCAGCACACUCGACGCGUAUUCCAAAGGUCCGUGGUUCGAAUCCCGGCGAGGGUA
rnacentral:tRNA from 1 species